GCUUACGACCGUAUCACGUUGAAAGCACCGGUUCUCGUCUGAUCACCGAAGCUAAGCAACGUCGAGCCAAGUGAGUACUUAGAUGGGUGACUGCUUGAGAAACCUUGGUGCUGUAAGUG
rnacentral:rRNA from 1 species